GGGAAGGUAGCUCAGUGGUAGAGUGCAUGGCUUGCAAGCAUGAGGCCCUGGGUUCGAUUCCUCAGCACCA
rfam:Dipodomys ordii contig_44625, whole genome shotgun sequence.